rnacentral:rRNA from 1 species
UACGUAGGGUGCAAACGUUGCUCGGAAUCAUUGGGCGUAAAGCGCACGUAGGCGGCUUGCCAAGUCGGACGUGAAAUCCCUCAGCUCAACUGAGGACGUGCAUCCGAAACUGGCGAGCUUGAGUGCUGAAGAGGAUCGCGGAAUUCCCGGUGUAGAGGUGAAAUUCGUAGAUAUCGGGAGGAACACCAGUGGCGAAGGCGGCAAUCUGGGCAGACACUGACGCUGAGGUGCGAAAGCGUGGGGAGCAAACAGG